rnacentral:lncRNA from 1 species
CCCGGUACCGAGUCUCUCAGCCCUGCCCCGCAAGUCACUACAAGGCGUGUUCGGAUCAAAGUGAGCCACAAUGGGUUGAUUCUAUGCCUAAAAGCAUAAUAAGAGCUGUCAAGCUGUGGAAGGAAGAAGGCUCCUGGUAGAGCAAACCAAGUUGUAAAAGAGCGACCAAUAAUUGAGCUGCUUGGGUGAACAAUUUGAGGUCUUUUAAAAUGUUAAUUUGUACCUGGACAGUUCCCAGUGGCGACAAAAAGGCACAGACUCUUCCAGAAGAACAAUUCUCCUCAUUAUGAGAAUCUCAUUUCAUUUACAAAACGUGGUCUGCCUAUGAAAAAUGAAUCUCAAGGUUCCUUACACAGAAACGAUUCUGACAAUUAAAACUAACAGUGUCAAAAACAAAACAAAACAACAACAACAACAACAACCAAAACUAACAGUGUCUAGAAGGAAAGCCAAG